rnacentral:rRNA from 1 species
CACGUAGGGGGCAAGCGUUGUCCGGAUUUAUUGGGCGUAAAGAGCUCGUAGGCGGUUCGGUAAGUCGGGUGUGAAACCUCCAGGCUCAACCUGGAGACGCCACCCGAUACUGCUGUGACUAGAGUCCGGUAGGGGAGCGUGGAAUUCCUGGUGUAGCGGUGAAAUGCGCAGAUAUCAGGAGGAACACCAGCGGCGAAGGCGGCACUCUGGGCUGGUACUGACGCUGAGGAGCGAAAGCGUGGGUAGCAAACAGG